UACGGGGGGGGCAAGCGUUGUUCGGAAUUACUGGGCGUAAAGGGCUCGUAGGUGGCCAACUAAGUCAGACGUGAAAUCCCUCGGCUUAACCGGGGAACUGCGUCUGAUACUGGAUGGCUUGAGUUUGGGAGAGGGACGCGGAAUUCCAGGUGUAGCGGUGAAAUGCGUAGAUAUCUGGAGGAACACCGGUGGCGAAGGCGGUUCUCUGGGCCUUACCUGACACUGAGGAGCGAAAGCGUGGGGAGCGAACAGG
rnacentral:rRNA from 1 species